rnacentral:rRNA from 1 species
AUGGCCGGGUCGACGGCGGUUGGGUGCGCGGUUGUGGAGGCUGCGUGGCGGCGGCGCGCCCUGCAAAUCUGGUGUGGUGGCGGCUCUGGUGGUUGGGGAUCUGCAGGCGGCGCGGGGAGGUGGUGGCAGCCCAUCAUGGGUCGCUGCAGCGGGGUCGCGCGGCUUGGCCUUCGGUCUAGCUGCGAGGUGGGCGGCGGUCUCAUGCUGGCAGUGCAGAUCCAUCACAGAUCUGGCAUGGCGGCGCAGGCCCCGCGAGGUGGUGGCGGGCGGCACUGGCGGCGGGGCUGCUGUGGCUUGGGCGGCGGUUGCCUGCGUCUGGUGAUGCGACAGCGGGUGGCGGUGCAAGGGUGGUGGUGGUUCGUGCUGGUGGCGACGGUGUGGGCUUCGGCCGGCCCUUGCGUGCGGCGACCUUUGGCGGCAAGGGUGGUGGCGUUCCUGCUGCCGGGAUGGCCCGGGGCUGCUCCUCGGGGUCCCGGUGUGGAUGUGUGGGCUGCCACGGCGUGGUGGUGGCUCAUGACGGUGGUCUGGGUCAUUUCAUGGCGGCGGCUGGACUUCGGCAUCGGCCGGUCGGCUUCAAGCUUAUUCAAAUUUCUUCAGCUGGGAGCUCCUGUAAAGAGAGGUACCGGUGGAAGGGUGUACCUACAUGUAGGGCAUGAGGAGGAGCUAGAGCGCCCACCUAAACUGGAGCUGCAGUAA